AGAGAGAGAGAGAGAGAGAGAGAGAGUUUGUCUGUUAUACUCUGGACCACGCCAGACGGUGAGAGCGCCGCUGCCGGAGGAGGAGGAGGAGGAGGAGUCUCGGCGGCUCUUUAAGCGGCACCAGGAUCUCAUACACCGGGACAUCACCAGGACUAUUUCUGUUCGACUGCGAGCGUAGGAACGGCCGGAGCGGUCUGACACACACUUCUUCACCAUAGCCCCCCGCCCCUCCACCCCCUGUGUCGCCCUGAUACACGCACCUACAUCCGCCGUGAUUGCGCUUUCACCUGGAUAAUCAGACGCUUGGUUACGCACGGUUUGGGGGGAAUUUGGAGAACACCUCCGGCGUUCACCUGUUCAGCUGUGCCGAGCUGCUGAGCGGCUCAGCCCGGCUCGGCUCAGCGGGAUUAGAGGCAUCUUGAGAUGGCAAGCAGCUAGAAUGGCACGUUUUCAGGCUUGAACGGUGGGAACGUGGCUGGGAUUGUCAAAAUUAGCAGAGGGUACCUGCAUACCUCACUGAAAGCAGAAGACACUCCAGUGCAAAGGUGAUUUGUGCUGGCAGCGACGGCAACGAGAGGGAAGAGAGUGGAGAGGCAAACC